UACGUAGGGUGCGAGCGUUGUCCGGAAUUAUUGGGCGUAAAGGGCUCGUAGGCGGUCUGUCACGUCGGGAGUGAAAACUCGGGGCUUAACCCCGAGCCUGCUUCCGAUACGGGCAGACUAGAGGUAUGCAGGGGAGAACGGAAUUCCUGGUGUAGCGGUGAAAUGCGCAGAUAUCAGGAGGAACACCGGUGGCGAAGGCGGGUCUCUGGGCCGAAAUUGACGCUGAGGAGCGAAAGCGUGGGGAGCAAACAGG
rnacentral:rRNA from 1 species